rnacentral:rRNA from 1 species
UACGUAGGGGGCAAGCGUUAUCCGGAAUCAUUGGGCGUAAAGCGCGUGUAGGCGGUUCCGUAAGUCCGCUCUGAAAGCCCAGGGCUCAACCCUGGGAGGCGGGUGGAUACUACGGAACUGGAGUACGGAAGAGGAGAUUGGAAUUCCUGGUGUAGCGGUGAAAUGCGCAGAUAUCAGGAGGAACACCAACAGCGAAGGCAGAUCUCUGGGACGUUACUGACGCUGAGGCACGAAAGCGUGGGGAGCAAACAGG